rnacentral:rRNA from 1 species
GACGAACGCUGGCGGCGUGCUUAACACAUGCAAGUCGAACGGAAAGGCCCUGCUCUUGCGGGGUGCUCGAGUGGCGAACGGGUGAGUAACACGUGAGUAACCUGCCCCUGACUUUGGGAUAACUUCAGGAAACAGGGGCUAAUACCGGAUAGGAGCUCCUGCUGCAUGGUGGGGGUUGGAAAGUUUCGGCGGUUGUGGAUGGACUCGCGGCUUAUCAGCUUGUUGGGGGAGUAGUGGUUUACCAAGGCUUUGACGGGUAGCCGGCCUGAGAGGUGAACCGGCCACAAUGGGACUGAGAGACGCCCCAGACGGCUACGGGAGGCAGCAGGGGGGAAUAUUGCACAAUGGGCGGAAGCCUGAUGCAGCAACGCCGCGUGCGGGAUGACGUCCUUCGGGUUGUAAACCGCUUUCGCCUGUGACGAAGCGUGAGUGACGGUAAUUGGUAAAGAAGCACCGGCUAACUACGUG